rnacentral:lncRNA from 1 species
UACCACUGGCCUGGCAAUCAUUUCUCUCUUUCCAGAUCUCAAAGUUGGGAGUUGCAGUGUGAAGAUGCUAAAUAGCGUAUUUCAGAGCAAGUGGUAUUAAUUCAACAUUGGAAAGACCACUGGUACCCAACAGACCCUUCCAGCUGUGUUCAGAAAGUGUGCUCUCAAGAUCCAAGCUCUCCUUUGCCUGAGUUGUUCCUACAAUCAAAUGCCUAAGAUGGACACACACUGUACAUUGAAGAGUUUCUGCGUGGCCAUGCCACAAUGACCUAAGUAAACGACAGGAAGACUGAAGAACCGUGGAGCAGCCUCUUCUGGACACCUAAGGUGCCAUCUU